rnacentral:rRNA from 1 species
GAAUUCGCCCUUGGAGUUUGAUCUUGGCUCAGGACGAACGCUGGCGGCGCGCCUAACACAUGCAAGUCGAACGGACACAUCCCACGGAAUAGCUUGCUAGGAAGAUGGAUGUUGUUAGUGGCGGACGGGUGAGUAACACGUGAGCAACCUGCCUCGGAGUGGGGGACAACAGUUGGAAACGACUGCUAAUACCGCAUACGGUGGUCGGGGGACAUCCCCUGACCAAGAAAGGAUUUAUAUCCGCUCUGAGAUGGGCUCGCGUCUGAUUAGCUAGUUGGCGGGGUAAUGGCCCACCAAGGCAACGAUCAGUAGCCGGACUGAGAGGUUGAACGGCCUCAUUGGGACUGAGACACGGCCCAGACUCCUACGGGAGGCAGCAGUGGGGAAUAUUGCACAAUGGGGGGAACCCUGAUGCAGCGACGCUGCGUGAGGGAAGAAGGUUUUCGGAUUGUAAACCUCUGUCUUGUGGGACGAUAAUGAUGGUACCACAGGAGGAAGCCAUGGCUAACUACGUGCCAGCAGCCGCGGUAAUACGUAGAUGGCGAGCGUUGUCCGGAAUUACUGGGUGUAAAGGGAGUGUAGGCGGGAUCGUAAGUUGCGUGUGAAAUGCAGGGGCUCAACCCCUGAACUGCGCGCAAAACUGUGGUUCUUGAGUGAAGUAGAGGCAGGUGGAAUUCCCGGUGUAGCGGUGGAAUGCGUAGAUAUCGGGAGGAACACCAGUGGCGAAGGCGGCCUGCUGGGCUUUUACUGACGCUGAGGCUCGAAAGCAUGGGGAGCAAACAGGAUUAGAUACCCUGGUAGUCCAUGCCGUAAA